CAUUUCGAGAAAAUAUUCAUUAAAAGUAGUCAUUCAAACAAAAUAUCAAUUACUACUAGAUAAGUGUGAAUCUUGCAAAUAAAAAGCCGUAGAAGUUUACCGAUGUUCAAUUAUCAGUAUUUCAUUAAGAUGUUAUAAAUCGUUAUAGCAGUAUGGCAUAUAUCUCAUACCAUAUUAAGAACAACCUAUAUGGACAUUGUGGCGCAUCGUAUCACUGUGCUGUUAGGAUAUCUUUCGACUUUUCUAUUACGUAUAAUCUGAGAUAUUAUUUCUAUUUUGAAUUGGGAGAUUACUAGAUAAUGGUAUUCAGACAUUGGCAAAUAUAUAAAUGCCAAGGGCUCAAUGCAUGGAACUGUGACUUGAUAAUCUGCUUUUUCAGUUUAAAAUGUCACCUUAGCCA
rnacentral:lncRNA from 1 species